UACAGAGGGGGCAAGCUUAUUCGGAAUUAUUGGGCGUAAAGGGCGCGUAGGCGGCUUGGCAAGUGGAUGGUGAAAUCCCUCGGCUUAACCGAGGAACUGCCGUCCAAACUGCUUCGCUUGAGACCGGGAGAGGUGAGUGGAAUUCCCAGUGUAGCGGUGAAAUGCGUAGAUAUUGGGAGGAACACCAGUGGCGAAGGCGGCUCACUGGACCGGUACUGACGCUGAUGCGCGAAAGCGUGGGGAGCAAACGGG
rnacentral:rRNA from 1 species